rnacentral:rRNA from 1 species
AAAUACUCCUGACUGACCGAUAGUGAACCAGUACCGUGAGGGAAAGGCGAAAAGAACCCCGGCGAGGGGAGUGAAAAAGAACCUGAAACCGUGUACGUACAAGCAGUGGGAGCACCUUCGGGUGUGACUGCGUACCUUUUGUAUAAUGGGUCAGCGACUUAUAUUCUGUAGCAAGGUUAACCGUAUAGGGGAGCCGCAGGGAAACCGAGUCUUAACUGGGCGUUAAGUUGCAGGGUAUAGACCCGAAACCCGGUGAUCUAGCCAUGGGCAGGUUGAAGGUUGGGUAACACUAACUGGAGGACCGAACCGACUAAUGUUGAAAAAUUAGCGGAUGACUUGUGGCUGGGGGUGAAAGGCCAAUCAAACCGGG